CGGUGCUUUGUUAAUAUCAGGCGUUAAGGAACACAGACUGCAUAUAUUUACAAUUUCAGACAUUACAUUGUAGAAGUUAUUUACAUUCAAGUAUGAUGUGAUAACAAUUUGCUCGCAAACUUCAAAGAAUUACCUGGUGCCAAGCGUCUGGAAUGAUCAUUUGUAGUAUUUAAACCGUUUAUCACAUUGUUAACACCCGGUCCACGUCCUCUCCGCUUUGGAAUUGAAGAUCUACUGACAGAGGUGUUGGUUGCUGCGUGUUGGGAUAUGUUCGCGGCAAGUUCAUGUCCUGAUUAACAACAUACGGGAGAAGUUAUGAUCUACACAUAUAAUGAAAUUAUAUACUACUUUGUAAGGCUUCCACAGAAAGAUUACUUCGGAGAUGGCUCACUGGAUCAAUGCUUGGUCUUUGAUAAUCAAUGCCAACAUGAGGAAAAUGUCAAUUUGGUUGAACAUUCUCCUUGAUGUUAUUAAGGUGGAACUGGAAAUCAACAUUAACCUGCAUGUAUACUUUAUCAAAAGAAGGUCCACGACCAAAUGAACAGAGUGGAUGAAUUACACAUGCUUUGAGGCCAGCACCUA
rnacentral:lncRNA from 1 species